rnacentral:rRNA from 1 species
GAACGAACGCUGGCGGCGCGUUUAAGCAUGCAAGUUGAGCGGUAAACUGGAGCAAUCAGAGUAGAGCAGCGGACGGGUGAGUAACACGUGGAUAAUCUAGCCUUAGUUGGGAUAGCCUGGUGAAAGUCAGGGUAAUACCGGAUAAGAUGGGUAUGACACAAGUCAUAUUCAGGAAAGGAGCUACGGCUUUGCUGAAGGGUGAGUUCGCGGCCCAUUAGUUAGAUGGUGAGGUAAAGGCCCACCAUGGCGAUGAUGGGUAGCCGGCCUAAGAGGGUGGACGGCCACAUUGGGACUGAGAUACGGCCCAGACUCCUACGGGAGGCAGCAGCUAAGAAUCUUCCGCAAUGGUCGAAAGACUGACGGAGCGACGCCGCGUGAAUGAAGAAGGCCGUGAGGUUGUAAAGUUCUUUCCGGAGGGGGAAUAAGGUAUUCAGGGAAUGGGAUACUGAUGACGUGAAUUCGGGAAUAAGCCCCGGCUAACUACGUGCCAGCAGCCGC